rnacentral:rRNA from 1 species
AUUGAACGCUGGCGGCAUGCCUUACACAUGCAAGUCGAGCGGCAGCGCGGGGGCAACCCUGGCGGCGAGCGGCGAACGGGUGAGUAAUACAUCGGAACGUGUCCAGUAGCGGGGGAUAACCUGUCGAAAGAUAGGCUAAUACCGCAUAUGAUCCACGGAUGAAAGCGGGGGACUCUCGGGCAACUGAGGGCCUCGCACUAUUGGAGCGGCCGAUGUCGGAUUAGCUAGUUGGCGGGGUAAAAGCCCACCAAGGCGACGAUCCGUAGCUGGUCUGAGAGGACGACCAGCCACACUGGAACUGAGACACGGUCCAGACUCCUACGGGAGGCAGCAGUGGGAAUUUUGGACAAUGGGCGCAAGCCUGAUCCAGCCAUGCCGCGUGAGU